rnacentral:lncRNA from 1 species
AUGCCUCGGACCACGGGCUGCAAGGGUCCCUCUAUCAGCUGUAGGGGGCGACUCCAGCUCCCCGCGCCGCAGGGAUUUUCCCCCCAGGUUCCUGCCGCCCGUCAGAGCCGGGGCCCUCCCCAGCACCGCCCCACCUGGCCACCGCCGCAGCCAGCCCGCGCCCGCAGCCAGCCCGAGCUGCCGCAAGCCACCCGCCCCUCCCGGGGGUGGGGUUUAGGCUCCCCCUUCCACACUCGCUUUGUUGCAGGGGCCCCCAGGACAACCCCGCCACUCUGUCUCCACAUCCUGGGAGCCAGAAAGAUGUGGAGACGCUGGCUCGCGCUCGCGCUGGUGGCGGUCGCCUGGGUCCACGCCGAGCCAGUGCCACCCCAGUGGACAGGAGCCUGGAAGCCCUAACGACUGCCUGCCCAGCCAGUCAGGAAAAGGGCUAGAGAAAUCACGUGCUUCUUUGUUCAGCUUCCACUACCACUGGCCUGAGCGGCAGAUGAGGUGGGGCUGGCUUCCUGCCACCAAUCAAUAUGAGGGAAGGACUGUGUCCCUGACAG